rnacentral:rRNA from 1 species
ACGAACGCUGGCGGCGUGCUUAACACAUGCAAGUCGAGCGGGGUCCAUCCAGUAGCAAUACUGGUGAAGACCUAGCGGCGAACGGGUGAGUAACACGUGAGCAACCUGCCCCGAAGUCUGGGAUAACACCGGGAAACCGGUGCUAAUACCGGAUGUCCUCACCGAGUCACCUGGCUUGAUGAGGAAAGAUUUAUCGCUUCGGGAGGGGCUCGCGGCCUAUCAGCUUGUUGGCGGGGAACGGCCCACCAAGGCUUCGACGGGUAGCUGGUCUGAGAGGACGACCAGCCACACUGGGACUGAGACACGGCCCAGACUCCUACGGGAGGCAGCAGUGGGGAAUCUUGCGCAAUGGGCGAAAGCCUGACGCAGCAACGCCGCGUGGGGA